rnacentral:pre_miRNA from 1 species
CCACAGUCUGGCUGGGGCUCCAGGCUGGGCUGGGUGAGUAUCUCUUGGAAAGGCUCACCUUCAAGCAUCCCUAGGAGG